GACGAACGCUGGCGGCGUGCUUAACACAUGCAAGUCGAACGGAAAGGCCCUGCUUUUGUGGGGUGCUCGAGUGGCGAACGGGUGAGUAACACGUGAGUAACCUGCCCUUGACUUUGGGAUAACUUCAGGAAACUGGGGCUAAUACCGGAUAGGAGCUCCUGCUGCAUGGUGGGGGUUGGAAAGUUUCGGCGGUUGGGGAUGGACUCGCGGCUUAUCAGCUUGUUGGUGGGGUAGUGGCUUACCAAGGCUUCGACGGGUAGCCGGCCUGAGAGGGUGACCGGCCACAUUGGGACUGAGAUACGGCCCAGACUCCUACGGGAGGUAGCAGUGGGGAAUAUUGCACAAUGGGCGGAAGCCUGAUGCAGCAACGCCGCGUGCGGGAUGACGGCCUUCGGGUUGUAAACCGCUUUCGCCUGUGACGAAGCGUGAGUGACGGUAAUGGGUAAAGAAGCACCGGCUAACUACGUG
rnacentral:rRNA from 1 species